GCAGCUGACGAAUACUAAUCGGUCGAGGGCUUAUCCUAAAACCGUUUGCCUGGACCCAUACAUCCGGCAGACAAACAGCUAAAGUUCAGCAGCAACUUCUUUCGUAUCCGGUUUUCAGCGUGCAAAACGCUACGUUUGGUGGCGAUGGCGGAGGGGAACCACGCGUUCCCAUACCGAACACGACCGUUAAGCCCUCCAGCGCCAAUGGUACUUAGACCGCAGGGUCUUGGGAGAGUAGGACGUCGCCAAGC
rnacentral:rRNA from 1 species